CCGGAUUGCCGGGUCUAUACAUGCAGUCGAGCGAACGGACGAGAGUGCUUGCACUCUCUGAUGUUAGCGGCGGACGGGUGAGUAACACGUGGGUAACCUACCUAUAAGACUGGGAUAACUUCGGGAAACCGGAGCUAAUACCGGAUAAUAUUUAGCUUCGCAUGAAGCAAUAGUGAAAGACGGUUCUGCUGUCACUUAUAGAUGGACCCGCGGUGUAUUAGCUAGUUGGUGAGGUAACGGCUCACCAAGGCAACGAUACAUAGCCGACCUGAGAGGGUGAUCGGCCACACUGGGACUGAGACACGGCCCAGACUCCUACGGGAGGCAGCAGUAGGGAAUCUUCCGCAAUGGACGAAAGUCUGACGGAGCAACGCCGCGUGAGUGAAGAAGGUUUUCGGAUCGUAAAACUCUGUUGUAAGGGAAGAACAAGUACGUUAGUAACUGAACGUACCUUGACGGUACCUUACCAGAAAGCCACGGCUAACUACGUGCCAGCAGCCGCGGUAAUACGUAGGUGGCAAGCGUUAUCCGGAAUUAUUGGGCGUAAAGCGCGCGUAGGCGGUCUCUUAAGUCUGAUGUGAAAGCCCCCGGCUCAACCGGGGAGGGUCAUUGGAAACUGGGAGACUUGAGUGCAGAAGAGGAGAGUGGAAUUCCAUGUGUAGCGGUGAAAUGCGCAGAGAUAUGGAGGAACACCAGUGGCGAAGGCGGCUCUCUGGUCUGUAACUGACGCUGAGGUGCGAAAGCGUGGGGAUCAAACAGGAUUAGAUACCCUGGUAGUCCACGCCGUAACGAUGAGUGCUAGUGUUGGGGGGUUUCCGCCCCUCAGUGCUGCAGCUAACGCAUUAAGCACUCCGCCUGGGGAGUACGGUCGCAAGACUGAACUCAGAAAAUUUUUGGCCGG
rnacentral:rRNA from 1 species